AUUGAACGCUGGCGGCAUGCCUUACACAUGCAAGUCGAACGGUAACAGGUCUUCGGAUGCUGACGAGUGGCGAACGGGUGAGUAAUACAUCGGAACGUGCCCGAGAGUGGGGGAUAACGAGGCGAAAGCUUUGCUAAUACCGCAUACGAUCUCAGGAUAAAAGCAGGGGACCGCAAGGCCUUGCGCUCACGGAGCGGCCGAUGGCAGAUUAGGUAGUUGGUGGGAUAAAAGCUUACCAAGCCGACGAUCUGUAGCUGGUCUGAGAGGACGACCAGCCACACUGGGACUGAGACACGGCCCAGACUCCUACGGGAGGCAGCAGUGGGGAAUUUUGGACAAUGGGCGCAAGCCUGAUCCAGCCAUGCCGCGUGCAGGAUGAAGGCCUUCGGGUUGUAAACUGCUUUUGUACGGAACGAAAAGACUCCUUCUAAUAAAGGGGGUUCAUGACGGUACCGUAAGAAUAAGCACCGGCUAACUACGUGCCAGCAGCCGCAGUAACAC
rnacentral:rRNA from 1 species